AAACCAUUAUUUGUGUUAAGAAUUUAUGAUUUUCAAUUUUUCAUUCAUUUGUGUGAAAUUAGUUCCAAGUGAGUUAUUUAACAUAUUAGUAUUAUACUACAUACACUCAUUACCUAUUACAAUAUGAACGUUUUAAAUGUUUCGUUUUUGUUUUAGUCAUGGUCAUAGAUAAUAUAGAUUGGAUUGUCCAUCAGCCUUCCUGAGCGUUCUCAAAUGGUGACCCAUUGGGUAAUAUAUUUAGUAUAACAUAAACAAUUCAAUUUUUCAUUUAUUAAUUAAUUUUGAAAUUAUUUUAGGUUGAUAAUAAGAGUGUAUGGCGACUGAUCUGGCAUCCACCCAUUUCUUGAUGGCAGGUGACUUCACAAGGUUUGCAGAUUGGAGGUUCAUUCAUAAGGCACACUUGAAUCUGGUGCUGCUGAAUGGUGCCCAAGUAAACACCCUUUCUUAUACGCACUUGUUUCCAUAUCUGUGAAUAGUACCUUAUUAGUAAUGUUUUUUUUUUCACCUUUUUAUUUUUACUAUAUUUAUUAAUUUUGAUUUUGUUGUUUUUGUUUGUUACCAGAUUUGUGUAUUGUGAAUUUUAUGUUGACUUUUGUCUUGUAUUCAUGACUUUUUUAGCCCUAUUUACGACUUAAUUAUGCCCUUUACUGGAAUUUUUUUUUUAGAUUAUUAUUAUUACGUAUUCUGAUUUAUUCUCCUUUAUCAUACUUUUUUUUUUUUGUUUUGCUGAUUAAUUGCUAAAAUAUUUUUUUGUGAGCCUGUGGUCUUUAGUAAGCGUGUCUGUAUUUGUAAAAUACAGUAUUUAAUAUUAAAUUACUUGAUUUAUUAAUUUAGUAGAUCAUGGCACCUCUCUCUUUUAAAUCCAUGGUAGGAUUGCCUGAAAUUGGUUGAGAUAAAUUGUUUGUAAGGUUGUUUUGAUGGUCACUUAAGGAGGUUGCAGUCUUAAGUGUAGGAUUUUGUAGUAGAUUUUACAAUUAUUUUUAUUUGUUUGUCUGUGUAUGAAAACAAAAGUUAUAUGGUUAAAUUCAAUAACAAUAAAAAAAAAAAAAUCACCAAAACAAAAUGCAAAAUUAAUAUUAAGAAUUAUUAAAUAAAUUUUCCACUCUAUUCAGAAUUGAAAACAAAUCACUAUUAAUGUAAAUUAUUGUAUUUUUAGUGUAUAAUCUACAGGCUUCACUUCAAAAUGAUUUAAAUAUUAUAAAAAUUGAUGAAAUUAAAAAGAGAUAUAUGAAGAGAUCACAUUAUCAAACAACAGAAGAAAACAUUAAUCAGUUGAAAUUAAAAUUAUCAAUACAAACCAUGGACCAACUAUACUGCAGCCCAUGAAAGAAGAAACCUGUGCCUUGACCAAAACUUGUCCAAGUUUGCAUAGCCCCGCCACGUUAACGCUAGCGUAUUUUCCAUGUGAGUGUACACCAUGUUUAUAGUGCUUAUCGCGUUCCUAUACCUACCAUGUAAUUAUUUAACACUGCCUUUUUUAAUGAAAUUCAGUAAUAUUUCUUAAGUGUAAUAAAAUUGGAAAUUCAUAUUUAUUUAUUAUAAUUAUAUAUGUUCAUAUUAGUUAUUUGUAUAAAAAAUUUAAAUAAAUUAGAGUCGUUAAAAUAAAAUAAUUUUGAAAAUUUAUAUUCCAUUUUUGACAUACUAUUUCAUAGGACACAAGUAGCAGUGUGCUGCAGAAACUGUCAAAUAUAUGCGCAAACGAGUUCCUUCUCUCAUAGGCCACAGUAUAGACAUUCUUGAAUUAAAUCUGGAACUUAAACAGAUGUUUAUUUGAUGUAUGUUUUUUUUCUAUAUAUAUAUUUCAAAUAAAUAAUUUUUUUUUUUUAUAAAUAGGCUAAUUUCAUUCAUAGAAAUGAGAAAUCAUUUGAUGCAAAAAGAACUAUCUAACAAAUUAUGAAAAUAGUUUUUGAAAAUCCCAUGGCAGAAGGUUUAAAUAUGGUGGAAAGAGGAAGGAAGCGGGCACUUAGAAAAAUGUACUUGCGUACAAUUAUAAUAGGUAUGAUUCUUAAGUGUAAAUGUAGAUUAUAAUUAUGUGGUACAAAAUCUGUCAUUUUUAUUUGUAAAAUGUCAAACAUAAGCAGAACUUAGGUUUGAUUUAGUUUUCAUAGUUACAAUAUAUUGUUUUGGUUUCUGAAAUGUUAAUAAAUGUGUAUAAACUGCCAUAUGAACCCUAGUCACCAUUAUCAAAAAAUUGGAGUUACUGUGUUUUUUUUACUUGGCACAGCAGAAUAAUAACAGCUUUAAUAAUGUAUUAUUUUAUAUUUUUCACAGAUGCUGUAAAAUACAGGCUUUCUGAAGAAUCACUAGGAGUAAUACAACCUCAUUGCUAACAAUAUUAAAUUAAGAGUUUUGCUAUCGGAGCUAUUUACUUAAUUUUUUAAAUUAUGCUUAAACUAUUGUAUGAAUAAUAAUUCAUAAAGUAUUAAAUCAAAAAUUCAAAAUUCAAAUAUUUUUUGUAUUGUCAAUAUUUCAUAAUUUUCAACAGUUUGUAUUUUAAUGGGAUGAAAUUUAAGAAGUUUUAUUAUACCUAAAAUAUAUUGAAACAGAAGAUUAUUAUUUUAAAAAUCUUUUUGUAUAUUCAAGAUUUUUUUUAAGCUUAUUUUCCUUAACCUCAUUAUGAAAAUGAAAUUUAAUAUUUAUAAAUUAUACAUUGAAAAACUAUUAGAAACUUUAAAAAUUAAAGAAAGCCAUUCUUAAUUAGUCUUGUUGUUUUAAAAACAAAAUAAUUUUACUGUUGAUUCUGAUAUAAAUAAUGAGUACUAAUAAUAAUAACUUUUCAUAUUUGAAAUGAGGUUAAGGAAAAUAAGUUCAAGAAUAUCUUGAAUGCAGCCAAAUUAUAAAAAUAAUAUUCUACCCCAAUAUUUUGUAUACAGUAACAAUUCUUUUUGAAUUUGUUAUCUCACUGCAUUUUACCAUCUAUUCAAAUACAGUUGGUAUACUCACUGUGCAAUUUUUUCAGAUUAUUCCUCUAUGGAUUUUGUAUUCAAUUGUUCAGUCUUUAUUGUUCUAUUAACUGAUCAUGAUUUUUUUUAAAUUGAAACCUAUGCCUAUUUUUAUAAUAAUCCAAACUUUUUUUUUCUUUUUUUAAUAACUGGUGUAUUUUUGAGGGCAUAAACUAUACAGAGUUCAAUACAAAUAUCUGAUAUCUGAAAUAACUCUUUUUCUGUUCAAUAUUUUAUAGUUUUAAUUCUUUAAAUAAUUUCUGAAGCCUAUAAUUUCUCUAUUUAAUAUUUGAACUAAACACUAUAAAUUUGUUUUUACAAAAUCAUAUAUAAAUAUUAUAAAUAUAAAUUUAUAACAAAAUUUAAGUAUUGCUGAUAUUUACUUAUGAUAAAUCCAAAGAAUUUACUAAUG
rnacentral:lncRNA from 1 species